rnacentral:lncRNA from 1 species
CCUCCCAAGAAGAAAGCUGCAAGCAGCUGGUGACAAUCAUGUGACUAAAUUAAUGAGCAAGCACAGCAAGCAGCUUGUGACUUUCAUGUGCUGUUACUGAAGAAGCUAGGCAAGCAGGCAGGUGCAUAACAUGUGAUUUAAUACUAAGCAAGCAGGCUGGUGGAGAACAUAACUUAGUUCUGAAAUUAUUUAGGAAGUUGGUCGAUACUUAUUAAUAAUUUUUCAACCAAAUAUUCCUUGUCUCGGCCCUCGUUUUGCUCUCGGAAAAUCUCGUCCAACUUAAAUAAAAAGAAUUCGACCAGAUAUUUAAAACUCGAUCAAAACUAUCAAGGGAAGGUCUUUCGACCACAAGACAGUCCCGUCGAAGCAUUAAUUUACCGGCUUGAUUUUUAUUUUUAAUUAUGGUCGAACC